GAAAUAGGUUAUUCAAGAUUAGGCUUCUAACUUAAAACUUAAGCGAUGAAAUUUCGUUUAUAUUUCU
rnacentral:tRNA from 1 species